rnacentral:rRNA from 1 species
UUAUAACAGUAAUAGUUUCUUUGGUUAGUAAAAUACAAGGAUAGCUUUGUGAAUGAUAAAGAUAAUACUUGAGACGAUCCAGUUUGUAUUAGUACAAAAUGGCCAAUUUAUUUAAAUGAAUUGAGAAAUGACAUUCUAAGUGAGUUAGGAUGCCACGACAAUUGUAGAACACACAGUGUUUAACAAGUAACCAAUGAGAAUUUCUGAUCUAUCAAUCAGUUGGUAGUAUCGAGGACUACCAAGAUUAUAACGGAUAACGAGGAAUUGGGGUUCGACAUCGGAGAGGGAGCUUUACAGAUGGCUACCACUUCUAAG